GCAGCGCGUGGAGGUCUGUAAAAUGCCUUUUUAUUACAUGGAAAUGCAAGCCCACCAAACCACAUUUUUCCGAAGAGGAUGCGAUCGACAUGGUUCACUCUAUCAGGCUACAUUACAUAACAUGAAGCAAGAUGGAUUUGUAUAUUAUUAAGUCCUAAAACAAGGCCCCCACAGUGAAAGAAAUCCUGCCUUCUCUUGCUGAAGAUGCAGACAGACGGACAGACGGACAGACGGACAGACGGACAGACGGACAGAAGGACAGACGGACAGACGGACAGACGGACAGAAGGACAGACGGACAGAAGGACAGACGGACAGACGGACAGAAGGACAGACGGACAGACGGACAGACGGACAGACGGACGGACAGACAGACAGACGGACAGACGGACAGACAGGCCAAACAUCACCAGAAGAACUCCUAAGGAGCGGUUGACUGCCGGUGUUCUGUUUCAUGGCACUCGGUGAUCGUUUGUAUUCAUUCAUUUGUUCUGCUCAGAUUUUCUGCUUGUCAUAAGGAGAUAGAUGGGCCCCAUUGUACAGGGAGGCAUUGAGGGUCCUCCGACUCACCAUUGCUGAGAAAUUAAUCUUCAGGCAUGCCGCAGAGGAACAAAACACUCCUUUGUGUGCGAUGGUACGAUAUGUAAAUAAAUGAAAUACUUGUCGUUACAAUUUAGGUUUCUUACAUAGCUGCACUCUCAAAGUUGCUUUAGAAUUACAAUUGCACAGUUGUUGUGGGAAGGCAGACAAGAUAUCAACACUUUGCCAGACACACCUCAUCCUGUCAUCAACUCCUAUCUGCUCAUGUUCUGCAAAACAAAUGUAUUUCCAUAAGAAAAUGUUUUGUGUUAACCCCCCC